rnacentral:rRNA from 1 species
AUACGUAGGGGGCGAGCGUUGUCCGGAAUGAUUGGGCGUAAAGGGCGCGUAGGCGGCCCGGUAAGUCUGGAGUGAAAGUCCUGCUUUCAAGGUGGGAAUUGCUUUGGAUACUGCCGCGCUUGAGUGCAGGAGAGGUUAUCGGAAUUCCCGGUGUAGCGGUGAAAUGCGUAGAGAUCGGGAGGAACACCAGUGGCGAAGGCGGGUAACUGGACUGCAACUGACGCUGAGGCGCGAAAGUGUGGGGAGCAAACAGGAUUAGAUACCCUGGUAGUCCACACUGUAAACGAUGAAUGCUAGGUGUAGGGGGUAUCGACCCCUUCUGUGCCGCAGUCAACACAAUAAGCAUUCCGCCUGGGGAGUACGGCCGCAAGGUUGAAACUCAAAGGAAUUGACGGGG